rnacentral:lncRNA from 1 species
CUAGGUCAGUGUUUUGUAACCAGAAUAGAGGAGGUCUCAUGGAAAUUUGAAUGGAGAAAAAUGGAGAGAGAACUCAAUCACAUGGAGUGCAGUAGGAGCCAUGUACCAAACUGAAAAGGCUGUAGUCACAUCAGUUAAAUGAAUAGAUCUUGUACACAAUUCAAUGUAUAUACCUGUGAAACCACUAUCCCAAUGAAGAAAAAGAAAAUUUUUGUCAUUCCAGAGAGUUCACUCAGGCCCUCUUCCAGUCAAUCGCCACACUCCUAGACAAUAGCUGAAGAAUGUGAGAAAGAAAAAUCAAAAGCACACAAAUGAGACUGUGCAGUGAAGAGGCCACAGAGACAACCAUACUGUCUUUUUGUAUCACAAUAAGCAAAAAACAGCGUCUCAGUAUGUUGCUCAGGCUGUUCUUGAACUCCUGGGCUCAAAUCAUCUCCCACCUCAGCCUCCCAAACUGCUGGGUUUACAGGCAUGACCAACUGCACCCAGGUGAGAAAUUUAAAAUACUUUUGCUGAAAUCAAGGUGUCAGGAGGCUGGUUUCUUCUACAGGCUCCAGGGGAGUAUCCAUUACCUGCUGCCUUCAGAUUUCAGAUGCUUAUAGCAUUCCUUGGCUCCUGUUUGUGUCAUUUUAAUCAUUUUAUCAUUGUUUCUGUUGUCACAUAUUUCUCCACACCUUUUUUCCUCUCUCUGAUUUCCUGCCUCCCUCUUAUAAGAACCCCUGUGAUUACAUCAGGCCCACCAGAUAAUCCAAGAUGAUGUACCCAGCUAAAAAUCAUUAAUUUAAUCACAUCUACAAAGUUUAAUUUUCCAGAUAAAGUAACAUCACAGGUUCUAGGGAUUAGGACAUGGACAUCUUUGGAAAGAAGGGAAGGCAUUACUCAGUCUACCAUGUUUCACAUAUCAGUAGUGAAUUCCUUUUCAUUGUUGAGUAAUAUGUAUUAUUGCAUAGAUUUAUCUCAAUGUAUUUAUCCAUUCACCUGUAGGUGAAUGUUUACAUUCGUUUUUGUUUGAACAUAAAGUUUGCAAUUUUCUUAGGAAGACAUCUAGGAAUGAGAUUCCUACUUUGUAAGGUACUCCACAAGUUAAGAAGAGGUUAUGUCACAGUAAAUCCAUCAAUACCAAGGAAAGAGGUUUAUUGAGCACGUGGUUCUCUAGGCUGGGAAGUUCAAGACUGGACAGCUGCAUCUGGAAGCUUCUGGUAAAGGCUUUGUACAGUAUGAAAAUAUAGAGAAACAGAAGGGGAAGCAGGUGUUGUUAAGAGACCAGACAUGAGAGACAGCCUCAUUUUAUAACAGCCAGGGUAACUAAAUCAGUCUGAGGAGAGCAAGAAUUUACUCUUGGAAAAAAGACAUUAACUUCUCUUAACGAUCUAAUCUUAAGGCACAAUGUCUCAACAAUGUCUCACUUGGGAACAAGCAUCAACGUGAGUUUUGAUGGGAACAAACCAUCUUCAAAUUAUAGCAGUUUACUUUUCACUCUAUUAAUUGUGUUCUUUGAUGAAUGAAAGUUUUUGAUUUUGAUCAAGGCCAAUUUAUCUAUUUCUUCUUUUUUGUUAUCUGUACUUUUUAUGUCAUACCUGUAAAAUCAUUGCCAAACUCAAUGCCAUGAAUUCUUUUAUCCAUAUUUUCUCCUAAGAGUUUUAUAUUUUAGCUCUUAUGUUUAAGUCUUUGAUACAUUUUGAGUUAAAUUUUGUACAUGGUGUAAUAUAAAUAUCCAACUUUUGCAUGUAGAUAUAUUUUCCCAAGCAAAAUUGUUGAAAAGACUGUUCUUUUCCCAUCGAAUAAUUUUGGCACACCUGUAAAAAAUAACUGGAUUAUGAAUUCAGGGGUUGAUUUCUGGACUGCCUAUUACUGCCAAUUAGUAUUUAUGCCUGUACCACACUGUUUUGAUUACUGUAGCUUUGUAAUAACUUCUGAAAUUAAGGAGCAUAAGACCUACAAGUGUGUUUUUUCUCAAGAUUGUUUUGGCUAUUCAGGUCCCUUGAGAUUCCAUGUAAACUUUAGGAUGUAUUUUUCUAUUUCUGCAAAAAACAUCAUUGAAAUUUUUAUAGGGAUUUUCACUAAAUCUAUGGAUCAUUUUAUGUAGUAUUGACAUUUUAACAUUAUUCUAAUCAGUGAAAAUGGAUUUCCAUUUAUUUAUGUCUUCUUUAAUUUCUGUCAGCUUCAUUUUAUAGUUUUUAGUGUACAUGUCUUUAGCCUGCUUGGUUACAUUUAUUUCUAAGUAAAUGAAAUUGUUUUUUAUAUUUCCUUUUCAGAUUGUUCAUUAUUAGUGAACAAUGAUAUGCAGCUAAAUUUCAUGUGUUGAUUUUGUAUUCUGCAACAUUGCUGAAUUUAAAUUAGAACUGAGCCCUAUUAGUUUUUUGCCACAUUUUUAGGAUUUUCUGUGUGUAAGAUCAUGUCUUUUAAAAGAAAUAAUUUUAGUUUUAUUUUUCCAAUUUCAAUGUAUUUCAUUUAUUUAUUUGUUGCCUAAUUUCCCUGGUGAGGAGUCUAUUAAAUAGAGGGAUGAAAGUGGGUAUCCUUACAUUGUUUGAUUCUAAGUUUCUUUUUAAAUUAUAAACACAGAAAUAAAAAUGCUGAACAUAUUUGUUUGAUUGAUGCAAUUGAAUUUUAUGUUCUAAAGGUAUGUAUUUUAUGUUUAUGUCAAUUUGCAAAAUAAUUAUAAUUGUCUUUAUUGUGGGAAUUUGGGAUCAGUUACUCAAUCAAAUGAUUGCUCAGUUCUCUAUUUUACUUCUCUCAGUAGCAAAGGUAUAACAGAAGGAGCUUGUGGAAUGCUCAUUAAGUUACAAACAGACUGGUAAUUUAACAAUGGACUGCCAAUAGAACAAUAAAGCCUGUGUAGCUUUAUUGUCUUGAUACAGCGCAUAAUUUUUGACAGAAGCAAUAGAUUUUUUUCAUUUUUCUAAAAAACUUGUUCUCAAGAUAAUAUUUGUGUAGCUCUGCAGGAAUAGACAUCAUCUGCUGAGAGGCAUUCAUAAAAAUAAAUAAUGGGGGAAUUCCCCUCCAGCCCCUAUACACACUUUCUUUGAAAAGCAGUGACCAUCACUGCAUUUGGCUUUUUUAAUUGGCACUGAUUUCCUUUUUUGGCAAAUGAAACUCAAUUUUUCAUACAAGCCAGCCUUCACUGUCUAAUCCUAAAUAUAGGGGCAGCUUUAUCACUUACAUUUGGCAUGGAAGGCUAUACAAAUCUAUUUGGCUUAUUUAAUUCACUGAAAGAGGUAAUUUUCUAAAUAACUUCUAUUGGCCUAAAGGAGGUAAGGUGCUGCCAGGUGGGUAGUUUAUUCUCAUUGGCACAAUCAUAUCAGGACAUGAACGGGAUCCUCACUCUGGGUUUCUAGACACACAAACAAGCAGAACAUGCAACUAAGCAAAGGGAUUUGUACUCUUUCUGUAUUGGUAAGAUUCUCUUAACCUUUGCUGUAUGGAUAUAUAUAUAUAUAUCCCUUGAACAACACAGGUUUGAACUACAAGGGUCCACUUAUACACAGAUUAUUUUUAAUCAAUAUGUUUAUUUAUUAAGGUAGAUAUGUAGCAAAUGCAUAAAAUACACAUAGAUACUAGUCUAUUUACAUGCUAAUCAAUCAUUUAUGUUAUCAGUAAGGCUUCCAGUCAAUAGUAGGCUAUAGUAGUUAAGUUUGAGGAGUCAAAAGUUAUGCAUAAAUUGUCAAUUGCAUGAGAAUUGGCACCCCAACCCCAACAUUGUCCAAUGGUCAAAUGUAUAUAAAUAUAUAUAAAUGUAUACUGUAUAUAAAAUAAUAUUUCUGUUAUAUUAAUGAUUAGGAUUUUUAAAUGUUUGUAUUUUGAAAUAUAACACAUAUAUAUAAUGCAUAAAAUGAAUCUAUAAUGCAACAAAUUAUCACAGAAAUCAAGCAUGUAAUGCUCAUCCAAAAAAAGAAAUAGACCACAAGAAAUAGUUCUUUCUGUGCAAUCUUCACUCCAACCAUCUCCUUCCUCAUGAAAGGUAACCACUACUCUGACAUCUGAUUCUAAAGUUCAAAUUUGCCAUAGAAAUCCUUAAAUAAAUUGAAUAAUAUGUAUUCUU